rnacentral:rRNA from 1 species
GACGGAAGGUGCAAGCGUUGCUCGGAAUCACUGGGCGUAAAGGGUGCGUAGGCGGCUUGGUAAGUUGGGUGUGAAAGCCCCGGGCUCAGCCCGGGAAGGGCACUCGAAACUGCCGAGCUGGAGUGCCGGAGGGGAGAGUGGAAUUCCUGGUGUAGCGGUGAAAUGCGUAGAGAUCGUGAGGAAGACCAGUGGCGAAGGCGGGUCUCUGGACAGUUCCUGACACUGAGGCACGAAGGCCAGGGGAGCAAACGGG